CAGCACCUCAAGUGGUCAGGAUGAUUAUUGGGCCUAAAGCAUCCGUAGCCGGCUCUGUAAGUUUUCGGUUAAAUCUGUACGCUUAACGUACAGGCUGCCGGGAAUACUGCAGAGCUAGGGAGUGGGAGAGGUAGACGGUACUCGGUAGGAAGGGGUAAAAUCCUUUGAUCUAUUGAUGACCACCUGUGGCGAAGGCGGUCUACCAGAACACGUCCGGCGGUGAGGGAUGAAAGCUGGGGGAGCAAACCGGAUUAGAGACCCGAGUAGUCC
rnacentral:rRNA from 1 species